GGCACGGUAUGCAAACUGGUAAAGCAACGAAACUUAAAAUUUCGUGAUUGUCUGCGGGUUCGACUCCCGCCCGUGCUAC
rnacentral:tRNA from 2 species